rnacentral:lncRNA from 10 species
GGGUUCCGCUUGACUCUGCAUUCUCCUACUUCCCUGCCUGCUUACUCUCUGCCAUCAUAGUUUUUUGCUUCAACCUUCAAAUGUAGCCAUUCUUUUUCUAAAGCGCUCCUUUGUUUCAGGUCAGCCUUUCAAGAUGGAUCAUUUCAAUUCAUUACAUCUUAACUAGCCACAAGGGGAAUAGGCUGUGAUGGAGGAGAAGCUACCCCUCAGCACAGGAUUUUGGUAGAAUAAGAAUAAAAAUGACAAGUCCCUUCCUGAAAAGCUCUUCAUUGUCUCUUGAAAACGGUCUGUGAAAGUGCCAAACCACCAGCUCUCCAGAUGUGGCUGAAUAUCAAGGCAUCCUCACAUGGUGGAAGGGACAGAAGGCAAAAAAGGGAGGAACACUGUGUCCUCACAUGGCAGAAGAGCAGAAGAGAAUGAACUCAUUCCCUCAAGCCCUGCUAGAAGGGCACUACUCUCAUCCACUAGGACUCCAACCUCACAGCUUCAUCACCUCUUAAAAGCCCCACCUCUUCAUACUAUCAGUUGAUUAUUAAAUUCCAACAUCUGAAUGUUGGAGGACACAUCCAGACCGUAGCAUCCCUCAAAAAAAGAAUAAAGAUGUUCCAUAGCACCCAUCAUUUAUUGAAAUGAUUUUCGAACACAAAUACAGCAUUGAGAGCAAGCUUUUAAAAUAAAUUGAGGGGCUUCUGGGUCAAGAUCACUAAUGGAACACACAUGUUCAUUUUAUAUUCUUCUCUGGACACUAUUAAAAUGAGAGUAAAGGAAUGUUAAACCAUAAACCCACAAAAAUAAGAGACCUGGCAAAGAGAAAAAUCAGUGUGAAAAAGCACAUUGCAAAUUUCUGGAAGAUGAAAAGGAGAUAGAGGUAGACAGCCAGAUGAAGAUGAGCUGCCAAGAAGAG